CGUAGUAGCGGCGAGGGAAACGGGAAGAGCCCAAACCAACAAGCUUGCUUGUUGGGGUUGUAGGACACUCUAUACGGAGUUACAAAGGACGACAUUAGACGAAUCAUCUGGAAAGAUGAAUCAAAGAAGGUAAUAAUCCUGUAGUCGAAAAUGUUGUCUCUCUUGAGUGGAUCCUGAGUACGACGGAGCACGUGAAAUUCCGUCGGAAUCUGGGAGGACCAUCUCCUAAGGCUAAAUACUCUCUAGUGACCGAUAGUGAACCAGUACCGUGAGGGAAAGGUGAAAAGCACCCCGGAAGGGGAGUGAAAUAGAACCUGAAACCGUGUGCUUACAAGUAGUCAGAGCCCGUUAAUGGGUGAUGGCGUGCCUUUUGUAGAAUGAACCGGCGAGUUACGAUUUGAUGCAAGGUUAAGCAGUAAAUGUGGAGCCGUAGCGAAAGCGAGUCUGAAUAGGGCGUUUAGUAUUUGGUCGUAGACCCGAAACCAGGUGAUCUACCCUUGGUCAGGUUGAAGUUCAGGUAACACUGAAUGGAGGACCGAACCGACUUACGUUGAAAAGUGAGCGGAUGAACUGAGGGUAGCGGAGAAAUUCCAAUCGAACCUGGAGAUAGCUGGUUCUCUCCGAAAUAGCUUUAGGGCUAGCCUCAAGUGAUGAUUAUUGGAGGUAGAGCACUGUUUGGACGAGGGGCCCCUCUCGGGUUACCGAAUUCAGACAAACUCCGAAUGCCAAUUAAUUUAACUUGGGAGUCAGAACAUGGGUGAUAAGGUCCGUGUUCGAAAGGGAAACAGCCCAGACCACCAGCUAAGGUCCCAAAAUAUAUGUUAAGUGGAAAAGGAUGUGGCGUUGCCCAGACAACUAGGAUGUUGGCUUAGAAGCAGCCAUCAUUUAAAGAGUGCGUAAUAGCUCACUAGUCGAGUGACACUGCGCCGAAAAUGUACCGGGGCUAAACAUAUUACCGAAGCUGUGGAUUGUCCUUUGGACAAUGGUAGGAGAGCGUUCUAAGGGCGUUGAAGCAUGAUCGUAAGGACAUGUGGAGCGCUUAGAAGUGAGAAUGCCGGUGUGAGUAGCGAAAGACGGGUGAGAAUCCCGUCCACCGAUUGACUAAGGUUUCCAGAGGAAGGCUCGUCCGCUCUGGGUUAGUCGGGUCCUAAGCUGAGGCCGACAGGCGUAGGCGAUGGAUAACAGGUUGAUAUUCCUGUACCACCUAUAAUCGUUUUAAUCGAUGGGGGGACGCAGUAGGAUAGGCGAAGCGUGCGAUUGGAUUGCACGUCUAAGCAGUAAGGCUGAGUAUUAGGCAAAUCCGGUACUCGUUAAGGCUGAGCUGUGAUGGGGAGAAGACAUUGUGUCUUCGAGUCGUUGAUUUCACACUGCCGAGAAAAGCCUCUAGAUAGAAAAUAGGUGCCCGUACCGCAAACCGACACAGGUAGUCAAGAUGAGAAUUCUAAGGUGAGCGAGCGAACUCUCGUUAAGGAACUCGGCAAAAUGACCCCGUAACUUCGGGAGAAGGGGUGCUCUUUAGGGUUAACGCCCAGAAGAGCCGCAGUGAAUAGGCCCAAGCGACUGUUUAUCAAAAACACAGGUCUCUGCUAAACCGUAAGGUGAUGUAUAGGGGCUGACGCCUGCCCGGUGCUGGAAGGUUAAGAGGAGUGGUUAGCUUCUGCGAAGCUACGAAUCGAAGCCCCAGUAAACGGCGGCCGUAACUAUAACGGUCCUAAGGUAGCGAAAUUCCUUGUCGGGUAAGUUCCGACCCGCACGAAAGGCGUAACGAUUUGGGCACUGUCUCAACGAGAGACUCGGUGAAAUCAUAGUACCUGUGAAGAUGCAGGUUACCCGCGACAGGACGGAAAGACCCCGUGGAGCUUUACUGUAGCCUGAUAUUGAAAUUCGGCACAGCUUGUACAGGAUAGGUAGGAGCCUUUGAAACGUGAGCGCUAGCUUACGUGGAGGCGCUGGUGGGAUACUACCCUAGCUGUGUUGGCUUUCUAACCCGCACCACUUAUCGUGGUGGGAGACAGUGUCAGGCGGGCAGUUUGACUGGGGCGGUCGCCUCCUAAAAGGUAACGGAGGCGCUCAAAGGUUCCCUCAGAAUGGUUGGAAAUCAUUCAUAGAGUGUAAAGGCAUAAGGGAGCUUGACUGCGAGACCUACAAGUCGAGCAGGGUCGAAAGACGGACUUAGUGAUCCGGUGGUUCCGCAUGGAAGGGCCAUCGCUCAACGGAUAAAAGCUACCCCGGGGAUAACAGGCUUAUCUCCCCCAAGAGUUCACAUCGACGGGGAGGUUUGGCACCUCGAUGUCGGCUCAUCGCAUCCUGGGGCUGUAGUCGGUCCCAAGGGUUGGGCUGUUCGCCCAUUAAAGCGGUACGCGAGCUGGGUUCAGAACGUCGUGAGACAGUUCGGUCCCUAUCCGUCGUGGGCGUAGGAAAUUUGAGAGGAGCUGUCCUUAGUACGAGAGGACCGGGAUGGACAUACCUCUGGUGUACCAGUUGUCGUGCCAACGGCAUAGCUGGGUAGCUAUGUGUGGACGGGAUAAGUGCUGAAAGCAUCUAAGCAUGAAGCCCCCCUCAAGAUGAGAUUUCCCAACUUCGGUUAU
rnacentral:rRNA from 1 species